GUACUUGCUUCAGCAGCACAUAUACUAAAAGUGGAACAAUACAGAGAUUAGUAUGGUACCUGCACAAGGAUGACAUGCAAAUUCAUGAGUGUUCCAUAUUUUU